CAGCCUCCUCAGGAAGCUCUGAGAAGGAUCCUAUCCAUAGCUUUGCAGACCUCCACAGGGGACCCCACAGAGAGAGGGCAGCUGCACAGAAGAGACGAUGACUGUGGCUACAGUGUUAGACCAUGGGCUGCGGGGCACUUUGCCCUAAAGUAUCCGAGUUCCAGGAGGAAGGAAUGAACGCCAUCAACCUGCCUCUUAGCCCCAUCUCCUUCGAGCUGGACCCCGAAGACACCAUGCUGGAGGAGAAUGAGGUGCGGACAAUGGUCGAUCCAAACUCACGCAAUGACCCCAAGCUUCAAGAGCUGAUGAAGAGAAACUGGAGAGUGAGAAGCUCAACGUGGCAGAGGUUACCCAGUCGGAGAUCGCCCAGAAGCAAAAGCUACAGACUGUACUGGAGAAGAUCAACGAGACCCUGAAGCUUCCUCCCAGGAGCAUCAAGUGGAACGUAGACUGUGAGUUGGGAGAGGAGGACUAUGAGAUGACACCGGCCCCUGCCUACUGUGUCCCCACCAUUCCUAAACUGUAACCUGGGGUGCAAAUGCGUUCCUCUUUGAGAAACACCAUUGACAGGAAAGAUAGCCUAUCCUGCAAACCCUUGGAGGGACGGAAAUAAUAGAACGUCCAGGUCGGUG
rnacentral:lncRNA from 1 species